rnacentral:lncRNA from 1 species
GAGGAAAAAGGGGAAAAUUUUAGUUUCUUUCAACUUUCUGCAAGCAAUACAACAUUAGAUUGAAGCCUAAAAAGAGAGAGAGAGAGAACUACCACAAACUACAGAAAAUUUCCCUUCCACCACAUUUUGAUUAAAUAAACUGCAUUUAAGGUAUCCAACAACCAAUUCCUCAAGCCAUAAAACCCAAGAAGAAAUUAAUUCAAAUACCUUCCUUCAACAAGAUGCAAAUAGCUGUGUUAUAUAUAUAUGCAAAAAGAAUCGCCCACCAUCGUGAGCCAUACCAGAGUGCAACUUCUGGAUUUGUUUUUCUGGCCCCUUCCGCGUUGCUCAACUCCAGUAUCAACAACUUCUAAACCAGAAGAAACAAGCAUUGCGACUAACGUAUCGGGUGGUAUUGUGCUGAUAUUCUCUUGGGAGGCAACUUUCGCAAGAUGUAGAGCACUAGAGCUGAAGGUAGAAUCUCAACCAACUGUAAUUUAGACCGACAAAGCAUUCAAUACACAAAUAAAAGUUACCCGUACAAUGAAGUAGAGACUGAAGCUUAAUUAUAUUUAUAAACAGAAUCUAUUAGAAUACCAUGUAAUAUAUCAAGUUCAAAACCGGAUGAUCCAAAACAUCAAGUGACGCAUCUGUAUCAAAAGCAGAAAGAAGAACCUGCAGGUUGAGAAUGAGUUAGAAGCACAUCACCAAAAUUAUUUCCAUGAUGAAACGCGAUACUUAUUUCCCUAUAAUGAUUCUCUUUCUACUUGAGCCAAAAGUCAACCUUAUUAAAUCUAACUUUUGAGAUCAAAGAUUCAAAGUCCAGGAUAGUCCAUGUUGACAGCCAAAUAUCAUGGACAUCCAUCUAUUGAAGACCCACAUCUAAACUUCAAACUUCAAACUGAAUUUAUCAAUUUAUGACACCAAAUAGAGGCUUUUUCUUUCUGUCAUUUUUUUUGGAAGAAAAAAAAAAAUUAAUGCAGUAAUUGUUUUGAAGUAGCAGAUGUGCAUCUCGAAAUAGCCAACCACUUGUAGAUUGACAGUUUUCUAUUAAAUCUGCAUCAAAUUUUAAUUUAAAAUAAGAUUCCUUGUCUCAAACACAAUAAUCCAAACAUCCAAUUACCUCUGCAAAGAGAGCAGCAAAUCAGACGUUAAAGGGCAAGAAUGAGGAAAAAGGGGAAAAUUUUAGUUUCUUUCAACUUUCUGCAAGCAAUACAACAUUAGAUUGAAGCCUAAAAAGAGAGAGAGAGAGAACUACCACAAACUACAGAAAAUUUCCCUUCCACCACAUUUUGAUUAAAUAAACUGCAUUUAAGGUAUCCAACAACCAAUUCCUCAAGCCAUAAAACCCAAGAAGAAAUUAAUUCAAAUACCUUCCUUCAACAAGAUGCAAAUAGCUGUGUUAUAUAUAUAUGCAAAAAGAAUCGCCCACCAUCGUGAGCCAUACCAGAGUGCAACUUCUGGA